CAUUUUACUCUUAUCCAAUCCCACUCUUUUUUUCUCUCUUCCAGAUCCUUCGUUAUCCUCCUCUUCCGCCUCUUCUUCUUCGCCCCUCCUUUUCCUCUCCUCCUCCUCUCCACAAAAGAGCUUCUAUGCAGGUAUGCUCUCAUGGCGGCGGGGCAACUUGGAAGAACCAAGGUCAUCAGGAAUUGGGAGAAUAAGGCCCAACGUGUGCUCCUCAACCUCUUCCUUCAACGUGCGUUGUCGAUGGUGAUGAAGGGGCAACGUGAUGGUGAGCCAUCAUGCUCCUCGCCUGAUUGUGUGCAGGUAUGUCUACAAUGUAUCAUUAGCAGCCGGUACUCGUAGGUAUCAUGUC
rnacentral:lncRNA from 1 species